rnacentral:rRNA from 1 species
GACGAACGCUGGCGGCGUGCCUAAUACAUGCAAGUAGAACGCACAGUUUAUACCGUAGCUUGCUACACCAUAGACUGUGAGUUGCGAACGGGUGAGUAACGCGUAGGUAACCUGCCUGGUAGCGGGGGAUAACUGUUGGAAACGAUAGCUAAUACCGCAUAAUAUUAAUUAUUGCAUGAUAGUUGAUUGAAAGAUGCAACUGCAUCACUACCAGAUGGACCUGCGUUGUAUUAGCUAGUAGGUGAGGUAACGGCUCACCUAGGCGACGAUACAUAGCCGACCUGAGAGGGUGAUCGGCCACACUGGGACUGAGACACGGCCCAGACUCCUACGGGAGGCAGCAGUAGGGAAUCUUCGGCAAUGGACGAAAGUCUGACCGAGCAACGCCGCGUGAGUGAAGAAGGUUUUCGGAUCGUAAAGCUCUGUUGUAAGAGAAGAACGGGUGUGAGAGUGGAAAGUUCACACUGUGACGGUAUCUUACCAGAAAGGGACGGCUAACUACGUG